CAUGCACCAGUGGGGUCCCUCAGCCUGGUCUGUGCCCUCUCACAAUCCGGGACCCCUUGGGGGAUUUCAGAGAGCCGGUUUCGGCCCAAUCCCACAGGCCAGGCCGAGGGACCCCACUGGUGCACG
rfam:Myotis brandtii contig170438, whole genome shotgun sequence.